UACCUGCAGCUCGAGUGGUAACCGCUAUUAUUGGGCCUAAAGCGUCCGUAGCCGGUUUGGUAAAUAUCUGGGUAAAUCGUGAGGCUUAACUUCACGAAUUUCGGAUAGACUGCCAGACUUGGGAUCGGGGGAGGUCAGAGGUACUCCAGGGGUAGCGGUGAAAUGUUGUAAUCCUUGGAGGACCACCGGUAGCGAAGGCGUCUGACUAGAACGAGUCCGACGGUGAGGGACGAAGCCCUGGGGGCGCAAACCGGAUUAGAUACCCGGGUAGUCCAGGGUGUAAACGAUGUGGGCUUUGUAUUGGAGGUCCCACGUGGGCGUCCAGUGCAGAAGAGAAGCUGUUAAGCCCACCGCCUGGGAAGUACGGUCGCAAGGCUGAAACUUAAGGAAUUGGCGGGGAGCACAGCAACGGGAGGAGCGUGCGGUUU
rnacentral:rRNA from 1 species